UGGGGAAUAUUGGACAAUGGGGGCAACCCUGAUCCAGCAAUGCCGCGUGUGUGAAGAAGGCCUGAGGGUUGUAAAGCACUUUCAGUGGGGAGGAGGAUUGUUAGGUUAAGAGCUGAAUGAUUGGACGUUACCCACAGAAGAAGCACCGGCUAACUCCGUGCCAGCAGCCGCGGUAAUACGGAGGGUGCAAGCGUUAAUCGGAAUUACUGGGCGUAAAGGGUUCGUAGGUGGUUGGAUAAGUUAUCUGUAAAAUCCCUGGGCUUAACCUGGGCAGGUCAGAUAAGACUGUUUGACUCGAGUAUUGGAGAGGGUAGUGGAAUUUCCGGUGUAGCGGUGAAAUGCGUAGAGAUCGGAAGGAACACCAGUGGCGAAGGCGGCUACCUGGCCAAAUACUGACACUGAGGAACGAAAGCGUGGGGAGCAAACAGG
rnacentral:rRNA from 1 species